AAGUCGUAACAAGGUUUCCGUAGGUGAACCUGCGGAAGGAUCAUUAAGAUAAUUUCGGUAAAACAAAAAGGCAAGGGCCAACCCCACAAAGAAGCGGCGUGAGGGGGGGAAUCGCGAGAUAGAUCCAAUUCUCUCGGCUUCAAAAGAUGUCCCCGGGAGGGGCAACUCUCUUACAAAUAUCUCUUGCAGCCGCCGGCGUGUGAUCAGGUUGGCCUCCUUAUACUUUUACAUUUCGAAUAUCUAAAAAAACCACCCCCACCGUGCACUUAUUGAAAAGACCUCCUUUAAAAGAAAAAAAAAAUUUUUAUCUUUUUUCUCUUUAACCUAUUUGCCUGAUAUUUUGACUGAUCUUAUUUAAAAAAAAUUUAAAUACAACUUUCAACAACGGAUCUCUUGGCUCUC
rnacentral:misc_RNA from 1 species